rnacentral:lncRNA from 1 species
GGAAUGGAAUAUCUUGGUCCCAGAGUGUGUGCUUCUCAGACAAGGCCCAGCUGUUUUCCAAGAUGACUGUACACUGAUACUCCCACAAGGAGGUGGUUCAUGAAGUUUUCCCUCCCUGUCUUCACUGAUUCUAUCAUCGGACCCGAAAACUUUUGCUGGCUGGCGAGUGUUGAUGCUGUGUCGCUGUGAAUUUACUUCCUGUUUCCCUGAUCCUGGUGAGGCUGGUGGUCUUUUCUUACGUUUGUUUCUUGGCCACUUAAAUUUCCCGUCUUGAGAAAUGCCUUGACCGGUUGCCCAUCUUUUUCUGUCGGGGUGUCUGUCUUUCAUAUUCCCUCUUCUGAAUGCCACUGAUCCUUAGGCCAGGGUGCUGUAAGUUAACUUCGGCUUCGUCAUUCUGCUCUCCUGCUUAUGCUACAGUGACUGUUGAUGAACAGUUCUUAAAUGUAACCCAAUUCCUCCUUCUAAAUUUCCCAAAUGCGCUUUGUCUAAAGAUGCCUGUAUUCGUGUAACUCUUGGAGGAUGUUUUCAUUGGGCGUGGAAGUCUCUCUAAGUUGGCGGUUGUUUUCCUCCUGCGUAUUGAAGUUAUUGUCCACCAUGUUCUGCCUCAUUUCGCAAGUUCAGCUGUUGCUCAUUUUAAAAUAAGCUGUCCGAUGUUUUCUGGCUGCUUUCAAGGUAUUUAUCUUUAUCUCUGGUCUUCUGAAGUUCUACUAUAAAAUGUCUUGAUGGGGAUGUCUUUUUUGUCAUUGUCGGGUUUGGAAUCUCUGCUGGGCUUCUGGAAUUCUCGGAGCCCUUAUCUGUAAACUCCUCCUCUGUCUCGUUUUCUCUCUCCCGGUUCUCUUGGAACUCCAGUUAAAUAUGUGAUAAAUCCUCACCACAACCACUGUUUUCUCUCUCUUUGUCUCUUGAUGUUGUAUUCUAGGUAGUGUCUUUUGGCCCGUCUUCCAGUUUAGUAAUUUUCUUGGUUACUGUUAAAUCUGGUCCACUGAGAUCUUUUUCUUUUUCUUUUUCUUUUUUUUUUUUUUUUUUUGUCUUUUUGCCAUUUCUUGGGCCGCUCCUGCAGCACAUGGAGGUUCCCAGGCUAGGGGUCCAAUUGGAGCUGUAGCCGUCAGCCUGCUUCAGAGCCACAGCAACGCGGGAUCCGAGCUGCGUCUGCAACCUACACCACAGCUCACGGCAACGCCGGAUCGUUAACCCACUAAGCAAGGGCAGGGACCGAACCCGCAAGCUCAUGGUUCCUAGUCGGAUUCGUUAACCACUGCGCCACAAUGGGAACUCCCACUGGGAUCUUAAUUUGGGUUACGAUAUUUUCCAGAUCUAGGAUUUCUGUUUGUUCUUUUCAGGUAUGCUUUUUAUUGUUUCUAGUAUCCUGCUUGAUUGUUAUUUCUUUGAAUAUGGUCUACAUAAUUUUAUAUUCGGCCUCUGAUCAUUUCAGAAUUUAAAAUAAUUGUGGAUCUGAGUUUAUUGACAGUUGCUUUUUCUGUUUCUUCUUCAUGGUGUCUUGUUUUCUUGUGUGCCUGUAUGUUUCACAAUAAUGCUGAGCAUUGUAUUUGGAAAGUAUUAUAGGACUGUGUUGAGGCCUAGGAUAGGAUCUUCCCCUGUAGGGUUUUCACUUACUUCUGUCCGAUGCCUCGGGGGCACUGCCAGUGUAGAACACCUUAAUCCAAGUUCAAGAUUUGCAUUUCCUGGACUAUUCAGGCGACCCAAAGUCAGAUUAUAAGAGCUGUGUUACAGUUCCCAUGUAGCGCCGUGGGUUAAGGGUCCAGUGGUGUCACUGCAGUGGCCCAGGGGUGCAGGUUUGAACUGCACAUAGCAGUAGUUUCCAUAUAACUGCGGGCACAACCAAAGAAAGGAGCUGUAACGCGGGAAGGCUCCUGUUCCUCUGGUUUGCCUUUUCCCCUGUGAAUGGAGUUUUAUUCUCCUAGCCCAAGUAGGCCAUCGCAUGUGUGACUUAGUUUCAUAACUAUUUCUUCCAGGUAGGGUGUGUCCUCAGGGCAAAAAUAAAAGGUUCCAUUUAUCGGGUGGCCCUCCUGAGUUUCUUGUCUUCUCUUAGACUUUGACUUGGUAAUUCUUUACUAUCUCUGUCACUUCUUUGAUGUUUAUAUGAUAUUUUUGUUUUUAUUAAUCCAGCUUUUUUAGCUGACACAAGGGAGAAUUUAUCCAGCUCGUUUAGUCUACCCUUAUCGAGAUCAGAGGUCCUUAUGUAAAUUUCUGAGAGCAGGGAUUUUGUUUUGUUCACCUUGUUUUCCUAGAAGAGUUGUGGGAUACAGUAUCAAGUCAGUAUUCACUGAAUGGCUCAGUGAAUAAGCUAGUAUUUUAAAGGAAAUUUAACUUCCUUAUGGGGUGCAGUCCCCUUUUUGUUCUUAAAAAUAAAAUUUGGCAGUUCUUAAGCAUUUUUCUCUUCCAUAUGUAUUUUAGAAUUAGUUUGCCAAAGUCCAUAUGAACCCUGAGAUUUGACUUAGAAUUGCACUGAAUUUAGAAAGUAAUUUUUGGAGUCGUUUCCACUGUGCCACGAUGGGAGCUCCUUGUUCAAGAAGUUUUAGUCUCCUGCAGAUGGUGUGUGUAAAUGUUUCAUAUCUGGCUUUCCAUGCAGGGCAUGUGUGUGUGUGUGUGUGUGUGUUGCCAGAGGCACGGGUACUUAAUUUGUAGCCUUUGCCCAUUUCCAUGAUCUUCAUGCCCACAGAGUGACCAGUUGCCAGCCACCAAGUUGGGCGGAGAUGCACCCAGUCACCUGUCGUUGUUCCAUCACACCCGUGCCGAAGUUCAGAAGCAUCAGUCUGUGUCAUUUAAUGACAGUCACCACUGUCAUUACAAGUGGAACUUCUCCCUCCCACCAUGUGACAACUGCUUUAGAAGCAGACCUAACACGUGGCUUCUCCUCCAUCUGCGAGCUCUGACUUUUAAAUCCUAAAGACUUUGUUAUUUAACAGAAGAGUCGCCCACGAUACCGCUCUCUGUAGUAAAGAUCACCCAGUCCCUUGUAUGUCCUGGUUGCUCUCAGCAGAAGAUGAAAUGGUUACGGGUCAACAGAACUCACUUGUAGGAGUGGAAGCACAACCUUCAGCGUAGAAAGUUGUUUGGAGGCGUGUUUUGUCUUGGACUUUAGUAUUGGAGCUGUUCCAAAAACUGAAAACAUGCCAAGAAACACUCCUUACCGUUAGAUAAAAGCCUGGUGGAAACGAAGGUCUCAUGGCAGUUCCAGAAUGUCUCCACUUGCCUAUUUGUGGCGAUAGUAGAACUCUAGUAUAUUCACAAGUCAGCUCCCGGCCCACCUCCCAUCUGUAGCCCAGACCUGUGCGUGCCUUUUGAACCCCUGGGUAUACACGUUUCUCCUGUCUUCAGUCUCUGGGGAGAAGAUUGUUUGUAAAGCAAAAGGGCAUUCCGUUCUCGAUGCCAAAAUGCCCAAGUGGCUUGGUUCCUGCCCAUAGAACCAAUGCCAUGGGCGAGGCUUGGAAAAACCAGUUCCUUUCGCAUUAACUGAGGACCGCCUGCUCUCUGUCCCUCCCCUGAACCUCAGGGAAGAAAGCAGACGGAUCCCUCGUCAUUCCAGUCAUGACACGGCUAAUUUUUGUUCUGAGUCGCGGGUAACGUUCGUUCACAGGAACAGUGUCACUCCUGGUGGAUGCGCUGCCCUCUGCACGGUACCAAAUAACACUGGCGAUGGAAACGUCGUCGUCCGCUCUCAGCGCCUCUGCCAGUGAGUCGUGUGUGUUUACUCAGUAAGUAGGUGAUGGGCUUUCUGCGAUGAGGCAUCAUGGAUGGAGUCUGUCCACAUGAAUUAAGAUGAAGCCAGUAUCAUCUGACUGUAGCUGGUUAGGGGUUGGAGAUGCUCACACAUGUUUAAACUGUAAGAAAUUUUUAGUUUCAUUUUAUCACUGGAAGAGAACUUAAGUUCAAAUAAGCCAUCACCAUGGUGCUAGUAAAAUUUUUUCUUGUUAAGUUUGGUUGGCUGGUUGGUUGGUUUUCCUUUUUGGCUAGUUUUAUUGGUUGGUUGGUUGGUUGGUUGGUUCUUGGCCGCACUCGCAGCCAUGUAGAAGUUCCCUGGCCAGUGAUCGAACCCACACCACGGUUGCAGCCUGUGCCACAGCUGCAGCAAUGCCAGAUCCUUAACCCGCUGUGCCACCCGGGAACUUGUCUUGGCUGGUUGGUUUAAUGUAUAUAAUAAUCCCAGUUGAUGAACACAUCUCUAAGUAAAUGAGUUUUAUAUACCACAUGCCUGAGGUCAUUCUCAAGACUUAUUUCUUCCCCGAGUUUUUCCCUGACAGUAGCAGUUAGUGACAGUGUGACCCAGUCAUCUUAAUUGCUAUAAGUUUGCACAGCUCUUCUGCAUCGCUCUUGGCUAAUGAAUUAGAUUCUUACGUGGCUGACAUAGCGUGUCCCUGACAAGGUGACAGUGUAGAGAAGGACAGGAAGGAGAGGGAAGAAUGAAGAGGGACGUAAACUUUUGUCAGCACGCUAAGACACACGAACGUAACAUCCCAGCCUUUGUCCCAGGAAAAUGGGCCCAGUGAUGAGAACAUACAGAGCACCUCUGGGUCAUUUGCCCUAAUAUUAUGAUUUGUAAUCCUCGACUAUUAAAAAAAAUCGAUGGCAGAAAGUGAGGUGUGAGUGACGUUCUGAAGCGUCGCAGCAAAGAGGCUUUUUGUCAAUCUUACAGUCAGACCUCCAGCCCAGUCCACUGGGCGGUUCUAGAAAACAGCUAAGUUACCUUUGACACCUAGAGUUGUAAGCUCCACAUAUGGAUGAAAAUGUGUUGAAGAAAUCUUGUUGCUUCACUCUUGGGGCUCCCUGACUCCCAUCACGGUGUUACCCACAAACUUUGCAUUUGAAACACAGUGAAGCAGUGGCUCUCCUUGGUGGCAAGGGAUACGUUGACAGCUUAGCUGUUCCUCUGGGAGACCUGUCCCCUGCAGGUCCCUAGAGGAUAUGUUGUUAGCAAGUGAAAAGCUCUUCAAAGAAUCACAUAUCCACAGAAAUCUGCCCCAUGGAAUAGUGUCACAGCCCAGAACACCCUCACUGGAGUUUUUGGAAGACAGACCCCCCCAAAUUCCAGAAGGCGUGGUCAGGGCUGGGCGUCUGCAGGGUGUGCCGGUGUAGGCUCAUGAUUUCCAAAGGCCGGGCGAGCCAAAGCCAAGACCCGGGCUCUGUUUCUCUCUCGUGGGUUAUGAAUGGAAGCCAGAGCAAGAGGCGUGGUUCACGUGGAGAACCACCAGGUGGCAGUGUGGAGAACGAGAGAGCGUUUCUGUCUCCUGGGAGAGGGAUGCUGGUUUAAACUGUUCUCGUCUGUAAAGGACUUUCUUUAACCUGUAAGCUCAGUGAUCAGGAAGGAAAAGGCAAAACACCUGCUUACUUCCAAUGGCGGAUCUAGCCUUUUCAAGCUUGUAGUACUGUGAUUUGGUAAUGUUUCUGAAGCUACCUGAAACCCAUUUAUUUAUAAACUGUAUUUUCAGGAGAGAUUGAAAUAAUUGUUGAAUUAUACGGCAUGAGAAGGAGAAAGAGGCAGGGAGAUCUUAGUAAAAAUUAAAUAUUAAGUUGGAACGGGACCAGGGAGAGCAUCAGAAGAUAAGAAAGGUACAGUGGAUGUUUUAACCAAAUGCUAGCCUAACCCAUUCAUCAAAGGAAAGAACAUGAGUUCUUUUUUCUUAUUUUUUCUUUUUUUAUGCUAUUUUAGGGCCACACCCGCAGCAUAUGGAGGUUCCCAGGCUAGGGGUUGAAUUGGAGCUGUAGCCGCUGGCCUAUGCCACAGCCAUAGCAACCUACGUGUCUGCAGCCUACACCACAGCUCAGGGCAACUCCAAAUCCUUAACCCACUGAGCGAGGCCAGGGAUCAGUCCUGCAUCCUCAUGGAUCCUGGUCAGGUUGGUUAACCACUGCGCCGUGACGGGAACUCCAAGAACAUUAUGUCUUAAUCACAGUGUAACCAGAUGGAGCCAUAUGAAAUUGCUGAUAUUCAGCAUCGUUGACCUAGAAAUGAUCAUGGCAUGUGGUUCAGCUUAAAUAAAACUAGAAACUAUUGGAAACGGUAAAUUGUAAAAUAUGUAAAAGCACACUAAAUUAUUCCAUGAUCUAAUCAGGAUGGUAGAUAAACAAUAAUCCAAAAUAAAGUUCUUUAAAAACCCACUGUAGUCCCCUAACCUCUAACAUCAGAUACUUUUAAUUGAAAAUAUUUUCUAUGUGCCUAGGAUGAUUUGAGAAAACUGCAAGUGCAAGGAUUUUUUUUUUUUUUUUUGAGAGAAAAUGAAAAUAAGUCUAGGUAGGCAGGCAUUUUCCAUUAGCCCCAAAGAAAUAGGACACCAAGCAGUGUUUUCACUUUUAAGAACCUGGAGGAGGCUGGCUGUAGAAAAGCUCGAGUGGUCACGUGCAGGUGAGUAUUAGUCUUUCUGCACGGGUGGUACAAGACCUCCUCCCGGCCAUGAUGUGACCUUGACCUGAGGGGCCCUUCUCAGGUCCUCCGCCACGUGACAGCAAGGGAGUCCACGUGUGUCUACAGAAAAAAAACAGUAUUGGGCUUGGCUGCGCCAGCCUUGCCCUGACCCGCCUCUGGGCACGGGUGUGGGUGUGGGUUCUGUCUGAGCAGGGCCAUUAGCAUGUUUCUCCUGCCAUGUCUCAUCCCUGGUUUCUGGGUCAUUUGAGACCAGCUUUCUGUGUUUGUUAACAGAUCUUAAAGGCCAUAGAAAAUAAUGAAGAGUACUUUUUGGUUGUAAACGCAGAAGGAAAGUAGACUUAUUAGUAUUUGAAAGGAAUAUCAAAUUAAAAUAUACUAUUUUCUGUAUAUAUUAAAUUGAGAAUAAUCUCAUGAUAAAUGAAGAGGCAAAAUAGUACUUUGAUAACAUUUUUACGGGGUUAAAAGCAAAAAAAAAAAA